GGAUGCGAUCAUACCAGCACUAAAGCACCGGAUCCCAUCAGAACUCCGAAGUUAAGCGUGCUUGGGCGAGAGUAGCACUAGGAUGGGUGACCUCCUGGGAAGUCCUCGUGUUGCAUUCC
rnacentral:rRNA from 1 species